rnacentral:rRNA from 1 species
AGUGAACGCUGGCGGUAGGCCUAACACAUGCAAGUCGAACGGCAGCACAGUAAGAGCUUGCUCUUACGGGUGGCGAGUGGCGGACGGGUGAGGAAUACAUCGGAAUCUACUUUUUCGUGGGGGAUAACGUAGGGACACUUACGCUAAUACCGCAUACGACCUACGGGUGAAAGCAGGGGAUCUUCGGACCUUGCGCGAUUGAAUGAGCCGAUGUCGGAUUAGCUAGUUGGCGGGGUAAAGGCCCACCAAGGCGACGAUCCGUAGCUGGUCUGAGAGGAUGAUCAGCCACACUGGAACUGAGACACGGUCCAGACUCCUACGGGAGGCAGCAGUGGGGAAUAUUGGACAAUGGGCGAAAGCCUGAUCCAGCCAUACCGCGUGGGUGAAGAAGGUCUUCGGGUUGUAAAGCCCUUUUGUUGGGAAAGAAAAGCAGCAGGUUAAUACCCCGCUGUUCUGACGGUACCCAAAGAAUAAGCACCGGCUAACUUCGUG